ACGGCAGUAGCUCAAUUGGGAGAGCAGCGGUCUCCAAAACCGCCGGUUGAUAGUUCGAUUCUAUUCUGCCGCGCCA
rnacentral:tRNA from 1 species